CAGAAAUACUCUCUCCAUAAACGUCCUCUCUCCUCCAUUCUCUAGUUCGGAUUUUACAAUUUCAAGCAAGGGAGGAAGAAGGAAGAAGAAGCCGUGAGCAUCCCCUCCAUAAUCCACCUUGAAGCCGUGAGCUUUGGAGAUUGCUUCCAAGAUUCAGAGUUCAUCACUUCGAGUUCAUCAUCACCAUCUCCAUUCAUGGUGUAAUUCGACCUUCAACCUUGUAACCUCUUUCAGUUUUCCUUGUUUGAAUUUGUGUACCCUCAAUCCCCGGAAUAGAACGAUCCCUACUUGCUUAUACUACUAAUGAUAUUUUUAGGGUUAAAUUAUGCGUUUGCUUUUAGCGUAUCAUUCUCAAUAAUAUGAUGACAAUUCUCUCUACAAUUCUCUCUCAAUUCUAUUAUCCUUAAACACGUUAUCAGCACGAGCUUUAACCACAAACCAAAAACCAAAAACCCAAAAAUCUUCUUCAUCACCGCAGCUCCUAGCCCACGCUAGCCUCACCUACGCGCCCCUGCGCACAUAUCCCUGCUGCCCCUGCAGCACCGCUGCACGUCGGCUGCCCCUGCAGCACCAGCGCACACCAACUGCAUCCUUCUCCUUUCCUGUGCACGUCUGUCUUCUUGCAAGCCCCGAAACGUCUAGUUCGGAACCUCAGAUCAAAAUAUUUUCUUCAUCAAAGUUGUUCGUCUCUGUCUCUUCCAUCUGACCUCCGAAUUUCAGCCUUAUCGGAGUUGUUUUGAGACCUGUACACCAAUAGAAGUGCAAGCUGUUCAGAAGAGAAUCUGUUCCGAAUUUCAACAAGAUGUAAGACUUGAACGAGCUCGAUUUUACUCCAUUGGAUUCUACGGGCACGGGAUAUUUAUUUGCCUACAAUCCAAGAGCCCAAUUCCAGGGCCUGUUCUAAAGGAACCGCUCAAGACUCACAAACUGAGAUAGAAAAUUCCAGGGCAUUUACCCUGAUGAAGCGCCACAUGAAGAUGGCCCUCAAGUUUGAGUACAUGAAUGAGGAUAACGCUAACAACCUUUGGGUUGCGCCUAGUGAAUGUUUUAGUAACAUUCACAACUUUCCGAACAUAGAAGCAAGAUGGAAUAAUAUAUGCUUCACUAAAACUUUGAAAGAGUUAUGAAAUAUUGUUCGGAGGCUCUCUGCAUCAUAUUAUUUAUGCAUGCUUGUGGAAAAACACAAAAGAACAAAUUGAUUGAGAAAACCCUAACAUGACCAUAGGAGUCAUGACGUUGAGGGUAUAGGGUUGGACACCAUGGCACCACUUUUGGCCAUGAUUGCACUACUCCAACGCCAUUGGUCCUAGAGACCAUUUGUAUUGUGUCAAUACACCUCAAUCAAGAGAGCAUCCUCUUCAUGGUAUUUUAUGGAGUACCUGAUCAAUGGUAAUCAAGAUAUCGAGCCAUAAAAGACUUCAAAUCUGGCGAUGAAGAAAGAAUGCCGCAGAUUUUUAUAUAGCAUAGUCUUUUAAUUUCCAAGAAUUAUGUAAUGACAAUUAUGCUUUAAUCAAUAAAAUGACUUACUGGAUUAUUUC